AGCAGGCCCCAGGGAGAACUGCAAUGGUGUCUGUGUCAGCACGCCCACACCAGGCCACAACAAUGGCCGCCGCCAAUGUCCCAGUCCCUGGAGAGGUCUCACCUCUCACCGAGAUGCACACAGGGCCUAUCAGGAUCUCUAUAUCCUUGAAGCAAUUUGUGUGAACAUUAUUUCUUUUGAUAAACAUGAAUGAGCAAAGUGGAAGAUUUCAAAUAAACUCUAAAUAGUCAAACAUCUGCU